rnacentral:rRNA from 1 species
GAUGAACGCUGGCGGCGUGCCUAAUACAUGCAAGUCGAGCGAACAGACGCGGCGCUUGCUCCUCUCACGUUAGCGGCGGACGGGUGAGUAACACGUGUAUAACCUCCCUAUAAGACUGGUAUAAUUUCGGGAAACCGGCGCUAAUACCGGAUAAUAUAUUGCACCGCAUGGUUCAAUAGUGAAAGACGGCUUUGCUGUCACUUAUAGAUGGAUCUGCGCCGCAUUAGCUGGUUGGUAAGGUAAAGGCUUACCAAGGGAACGCUGCGUAGCCGACCGGAGAGAGGGGUCGGCCACACUAGAGCUGGGACGGGGACCAGAGUCCUGCGAUAGGCAGCAGUAGGGUAUGUGCCGCAGUGGUCGGGAGCCUGACGGAGCGACGCCGCGUGAGUUAUGAAGGUCUUCGGAGCGUAAAACCCUGUUAUGAGGUAAAAACAAAUGUGUAAGGUACUAUGGACGUCGUGACGGUACCGAGUCAGAAAGCCACGGCUAACUACGUG